rnacentral:rRNA from 1 species
UACGUAGGGUGCAAGCGUUAAUCGGAAUUACUGGGCGUAAAGCGUGCGCAGGCGGUUAUAUAAGACAGUUGUGAAAUCCCCGGGCUCAACCUGGGAACUGCAUCUGUGACUGUAUAACUAGAGUACGGUAGAGGGGGAUGGAAUUCCGCGUGUAGCAGUGAAAUGCGUAGAUAUGCGGAGGAACACCGAUGGCGAAGGCAAUCCCCUGGACCUGUACUGACGCUCAUGCACGAAAGCGUGGGGAGCAAACAGG